rnacentral:rRNA from 1 species
GGUCAUGGCUCAGAUUGAACGCUGGCGGCAGGCCUAACACAUGCAAGUCGAACGGUAACAGGAAGCAGCUUGCUGCUUUGCUGACGAGUGGCGGACGGGUGAGUAAUGUCUGGGAAACUGCCUGAUGGAGGGGGAUAACUACUGGAAACGGUAGCUAAUACCGCAUAACGUCGCAAGACCAAAGAGGGGGGACCUUCGGGCCUCUUGCCAUCGGAUGUGCCCAGAUGGGAUUAGCUAGUAGGG